AGCCCGCUCAGAACUCAAAGGAAUUGACGGGGCCCGCACAAGCGGUGGAGUAUGUGGUUUAAUUCGAUGCAACGCGAAGAACCUUACCUGGUCUUGACAUCCCGGAGACCCUUAGGAAACUAGGGGGUGCUUCCAUCUGGAAGAAUCUGGAGACAGGUGCUGCAUGGCUGUCGUCAGCUCGUGUCGUGAGAUGUUGGGUUAAGUCCCGCAACGAGCGCAACCCUUGCCUUUAGUUGCCAGCAGUUCGGCUGGGCACUCUAAAGGGACUGCCGGUGUUAAACCGGAGGAAGGUGGGGAUGACGUCAAAUCAGCACGGCCCUUACGUCCAGGGCUACACACGUGCUACAAUGGCCGAUACAAAGGGCAGCGACACUGCGAGGUGAAGCCAAUCCCGUAAAAUCGGUCUCAGUCCGGAUUGGAGUCUGCAACUCGACUCCAUGAAGUUGGAAUCGCUAGUAAUCGUGGAUCAGCAUGCCACGGUGAAUACGUUCCCGGGCCUU
rnacentral:rRNA from 1 species